GACGAACGCUGGCGGCGUGCCUAACACAUGCAAGUCGAACGCAGUGGGGACGGGUGAGUAACACGUGGGUAACCUCCCAUCAGAGGGGAUAACACUUGGAAACAGGUACUAAACCGAUACUGAUGGAUGGACCCGCGGUGCACUGGCUAGGUGGUGAGGUAACGGCUCACCAAGGCCACGAUGCAUAGCCGGCCGGAGAGGGUGAUCGGCCACACUGGAACUGAGACACGGCCCAGACUCCUACGGGAGGCAGCAGUGGGGAAUCUUCGGCAAUGGACGCAAGUCUGACGGAGCAACGCCGCGUGAGUGAAGAAGGUUUUCGGAUCGUAAAGCUCUGUUGGUGGAGAAGCGGUAUCUAACCAGAAAGCCACGGCUAACUACGUGCCAGCAGCCGCGGUAAUUC
rnacentral:rRNA from 1 species